GAUGAACGCUGGCGGCGUGCUUAACACAUGCAAGUCGAGCGAGAAAAGUUCUUCGGAGCUUUUCUAGCGGCGGACGGGUGAGUAACACGUGGGCAACCUGCCUCAUAGAGGGGAAUAGCCUUCCGAAAGGAAGAUUAAUACCGCAUAAUAUUGUUGAAAGGCAUCUUUUAACAAUCAAAGGAGCAAUUCGCUAUGAGAUGGGCCCGCGGCGCAUUAGCUAGUUGGUGAGGUAACGGCUCACCAAGGCGACGAUGCGUAGCCGACCUGAGAGGGUGAUCGGCCACAUUGGAACUGAGACACGGUCCAGACUCCUACGGGAGGCAGCAGUGGGGAAUAUUGCACAAUGGGGGAAACCCUGAUGCAGCAACGCCGCGUGAGUGAUGAAGGUCUUCGGAUUGUAAAGCUCUGUCUUUAGGGACGAUAAUGACGGUACCUAAGGAGGAAGCCACGGCUAACUACGUGCCAGCCGCCGCCGUAAAAC
rnacentral:rRNA from 1 species